ensembl:lncRNA
AGAUGUGACCAUGAUUUCUCCAAACACCCUGAGAGAUACCACAAAUACAGCCCAGCGCAGCCAUUUUGUUGAGAAACUUCACCACCUUCUGGAGGGCUGUAUUCUUCUCUUCCGCUGAGGCUUUAAUAUCAGACUUGGAUUCUAGACAAAGUAAAUGAGAGGAAAAAGGAUAACCUAAUAUUAAUAUAACAUGAUUAAAUAAAGAUGUACAAAUUGACAGUUUUCAGUGACAGAUGAAAGAUCAAAUGGAGUAGCUGUCCAGACCAGCGUAAACGCCAGACAAAUGAUGCUAACAAGAAAAGAUGCUGGGAAAGACGUCAACUGCAUGCUUUAACUGCAGCUAAAGGUGAGUCUUUGGACUUGGAGAGGCUGCAGGGCCAGAGAGUGCCACACUUAGCCAGGCGUGUGAGCACCAUAGACUGCAACGUGCUCAACACCAGGAUGACCAAACAGAAACAGAAGUGCUUUCCUAUGGAGAACAACGAG